rnacentral:lncRNA from 1 species
GAGGUCACGGGUUCCAAUCCCGCUCUGCCGCUUGUCAGCCGCGUGGCUGUGGCCGAGUCACUUCACUGGGCCUCGGCUCCCUCGUCUGUACAUUCCAAGCGCUUAGUACGGUGCUCCGCACAUAGUAAGCGCUCAAUAAAUACCACUGAAUAAAUGAAUCUGUAAAUUGGGGGUGAGGCCCGGGAGCCUCACGUGGGACAUCCUGAUCACCCUGCAUCUCCCCCAGCGCUUAGCACAGUGCUCGGCGCAUAGUAAGCGCUUGGUGAAUACCAACGUUAUUGUUACUUAUGGCAUCUGUUAAGCGCUUACUAUGCGCCGAGCACUGUGCUAAGCGCUGGGGUGGAUGCAGGAUAAUCAGACUGUCCCCCGUGGGGCUCACAUUUUCUCAUCCCCAUUUUUGCAGAGGAGGAUCUUGAGGCCCAGAGCGGGGAAGUGACAGGCCCAGGGUCCCCCGGCCGCCAAGUGGCGGAGCUGGGAUUCGAACCCAUGACCUGUGACUCCCCAGCCCGGGCUGUUGCUAUUGUCCGUCUCCCCCGAUUUGACUGUGAGCCCGUCACUGGGCAGGGACUGUCUCCGGCUGUUGCCGAUUUGGCCAUUCCAAGCGCUUAGUCCAGUGCUCUGCACGGAGUAAGUGCUCAAUUAAUCCUAUUGAAUGAAUGAAUGAAUGAAUGAAUGAAUGAAUGAAUGUUGCCACUGAGCCCCGCGGCUUCGCUGAUGGAGGGUGGGGAGGCUGGGGGGAGGCGCUGCGAACUUACGACACCCGGGCCGGACGGACAGACGGUCGAAAGGCCGGGGCAGGCGGUCGAAAGGCCGGGGCAGACGGCCGAAAGGAAGGGGCAGACGGUCGUAAGGACGGGACAGACGGUCGAAAGGCCGGGGCAGACGGUCGAAAGGACGGGACAGACGGUCGAAAGGCCGGGCAGCUAAGCGUCCGGAUCUGGUCCCCGACGUUGGAGCCGCCGCGGGCGGCGCGGCCCGAUGACGUCACCGGCCGGCGCCCGCCGUCCCCCUCGCGCGCAGGCGCACUGCGGGCCCCGCCCCGGCUGGGCGUGAGGCGGCGGCCGGGCGCCGCCAUUUUGGGCGAGCGGGGGGGGGUGGACCGGCGGGAGCACGUUGUGCGGCUGGCCGCGAGGAGGCCGGACGGAGGCCGGGCGGCGGCGGCACCUCUCCCAGCCCGCCGCGGGGGGGGGAACCCUUUCGUCUAGGUGGAUGUUAGUAAGUCUCCAUUUACUCACACGGCUAAGCGAGGAAGUGGAAAUUACCUGAAGGAGUAGCAGUUUUUCCAAACAGCUGAAUGUAGAACAACAAAAGCGUCGGUGCAGAGGGCGUCUGGGACUUAAUCCCUUUGACAUUCAACUGGAGCCGGGAGUGAUAUUAAAGAGAAGCAGCGUGGCUCAGUGGAAAGAGCCCGGGCUUUGGAGUCAGAGGUCAUGAGUUCGAAUCCCGGCUCUGCCACUUGUCAGCUGGGUGACUGUGGGCAAGUCACUUCCCUUCUCGGGGCCUCAGUUCCCUCAUCUGUAAAAGGGGGAUGAAGACUGGGAGCCCCACGUGGGACAACCUGAUGCCCCUGCGUCUCCCCCCAGCGCUUAGAACAGUGCUCGGCACAUAGUAAGCGCUUAACAAAUACCAACAUUAUUAUUAAAGCCGAAAUUUGGUGUUUACACGCUUCGCCUGGCGGAGUCAUGCACCGAGAAGGAUGGGUGAACCUCAGUCCCGAGGGCUUGGGAUAAAGGAUCCACGGAAAGGAGUUGUUUAUAGCGAUAGUGGUUUGGCACAGUAUUUCUUGUGCAUGUUAAGUCGAUCGUUGGCAUUUACCCAACGUGUACUGGGUGCAGAGCACUGCGCGGCACAGUCGGGUGAGUGCGAUGUAACAAAGCCGAUAGAUAUAUUCCCUGUCCAUAAGGGGCUUAUAGGAGGAGGAAUAAAUUUACAAAUAAAUAAAAUAAACUACAGUUAAUCUAAAUCCUGUGGGCUUGAGGAUGGGGUGAAUAUCAAGGGCUUCGAAGAUGUAAAUCCAAGUGUCCACAAAGAGUUUACAGUCUAGAAGGGGAAACAAACCUUAAAUUGCAGAUAGGGGAGAUGGCAGAGUAUAAAGAUAUAAUAAUAAUGUUGGUAUUUGUUAAGCGCUUACUAUGUGCAGAG